UGGUUUUUAAAAAACAUGGCUCCUCGUUUGUUCUUCUUUAGAUGGGGAGUCGGACCUGCCCGGUGAAGUUUUUUAACGGCCGCGGUACUCUGACCGUGCAAAGGUAGCAUAAUCAUUUGCCUUAUAAUUGAAGGCUAGUAUGAAUGGUUUGACAAGAAUACAACUGUCUCUUUGCGAUUUGCUAGAAUUUUAUUUACAGGUGAGGAAGCUUGUAUUGUAUUAAAAGACAAGAAGACCCUAUCGAGCUUGAAAGGAGUCAGCGGGUUUGGAUUAAAGAUGUGAGAUAGGUCGAGUCCGUUGUAAAUUUUGGUUGGGGCGACUGAGGAACAAGGGUAGCUUCCUUUGGUUUAUGUGUUCUAACUGGUGUUGAUCCAAGAGGUCUUGAUUGAAGGAAUUAGUUACCGUAGGGAUAACAGCAUUAUCUUUUUUGAGAGCUCCUAUCGAAAAAAAGGUUUGUGACCUCGAUGUUGGACCAGAAUGUCCUGAAGAUGCAGAAGUCUUUAAGGGUUGGUCUGUUCGACCAUUAAAAUUCUACGUGAUCUGAUUCCA
rnacentral:rRNA from 1 species